UACGAAGGGGGCUAGCGUUGCUCGGAAUGACUGGGCGUAAAGGGCGCGUAGGCGGUUUGUACAGUCAGGUGUGAAAUUCCCGGGCUCAACCUGGGGGCGGCACUUGAGACGUAGGAACUGGAGUGAGGAAGAGGGUCGUGGAAUUCCCAGUGUAGAGGUGAAAUUCGUAGAUAUUGGGAGGAACACCAGUGGCGAAGGCGGCUCACUGGACCGGAACUGACGCUGAGGCGCGAGAGCGUGGGGAGCAAACAGG
rnacentral:rRNA from 1 species